rnacentral:rRNA from 1 species
GAUGAACGCUGGCGGCAUGCCUAAUACAUGCAAGUCGAACGAGAGGAAGGAAAGCUUGCUUUUCUGAAUCUAGUGGCGAACGGGUGAGUAACACGUAGGUAACCUGCCCAUGUGCCCGGGAUAACUUCUGGAAACGGAUGCUAAAACCGGAUAGGUAGCAGACAAGCAUUUGACUGCUAUUAAAGUGGCUAAGGCCAUGAACAUGGAUGGACCUGCGGUGCAUUAGCUAGUUGGUGAGGUAACGGCCCACCAAGGUGACGAUGCAUAGCCGGCCUGAGAGGGCGGACGGCCACAUUGGGACUGAGACACGGCCCAAACUCCUACGGGAGGCAGCAGUAGGGAAUCUUCGUCAAUGGGGGGAACCCUGAACGAGCAAUGCCGCGUGAGUGAGGAAGGUCUUCGGAUCGUAAAGCUCUGUUGUAAGAGAAAAACGACAUUCAUAGGGAAUGAUGAGUGAGUAAUGGUAUCUUACCAGAAAGUCACGGCUAACUACGUGCCAGCCGCCGCAGUAA